CACCAUACAGAGCAGUGCAAGCUGGAGCUGAGGGAGCUGCCCUGGGAUUAAAUUCAUCAUGGAGAACCAACUUGAAGCAGUUUAUGGGUUGGUACGUAGAGUGUGCUUAGGCUGUUUCUUUCCAAAAGAGAAAUGGGUGAUUUUAAAUGCCAUCACAGCCUUCUCUCAUUAGUGUAAAUUAACUUGAGAGUGCUUUUCCAUUCUGAAUGUCAUCACAUGGAGCAGAAAUCACUCAGCAGCACCGCGAGCUCUGAAAGGGUGAAUGAUUUUAAGAGGUCUGAGUUCAAAGCAGCCCCCGCUGUCCUUUUAGUCCCUGAGUCCCAGUGGAGGUCAUAGAAUCACGGGAUGGUUGGAGUUGGAAGGGACCCCAAAGGCCAUCUGAUGCCAGCCCUGCACUGAGUAGGGACACCCACAGCUCCAGCAGUGCUCACAGCCCAUCCCCUGACCUCGGCUGUCUGCAGGGAUGGGGCACCAUUGCCUCUCUGGGCAACCUGUGAUGGUGAUGCUUUGUGCAGGGAGCAGAGCAGGUUGGCACAGCACUCUUCAGGCCUGAUGUGCUGAGAGGAGGGAAAAAAAAAAAUCCAGGAAAAACUAGCUCCUUUAAUUCUGCCCGGUGAUCCCUCAUAGGGAUUUCAUGAUGCACAGUUUGUAUAGUAGGAACCAACGCAUAAGAACAACAUGUGACUUUUUCACAGCUGCAUAAAAACUCAGAUCUGGGCCGAAGAUCAGCUUCUGAGCACAUCUCCUGUCACUGUGUCCUUUCCCGAGCAUUUUUCACGCUGCCCGUUGGGACGAAUUGCAUCAGAAUAGGUGGUUUCAGCAGCACGACUCUGCCAUCUGCUCAGGGUUUCCAAGGAAUGGUGGUGUGGCGGAGCUGGCUGCUGGAUGAGGCAGGACGGGCCGGGGCUGCUCUGAUGUUGGUGCCUCUUUCCAGAAAGGAGUAGGGAGCGUGGCAAGAGGGAAAGGAGGGUUUGCUGAGAAUAAAUUUGACACAGUGGAACAAAGUGUUCCCCUUAAAUGUGUUCUACAGCCAGAAUAGCAGCAGCACUUCUGCCAAGUGAGGGGCCUGCUGCAAGAACAGUUUGGCAAGGGGAAGAUAUAGCCAAAUUUGAGUGAAGCAGCCUGAUGGUGGGUGGCUGGGUUAUGCAAUUUUACUGAUAUUCGGCAUCCGUUAUCUCUUGCAAAGCUUCUCUGAAUGAAACAAAAUGGUAGAGCAGAUGACUGUUGUGCAUUUAAACACUUCCAUUCCAGUUCUUGAAACUUGAGAAAGAAGAUGGGGAGGACAGAGGUUGUAAUGAAACCCUCACUGGGAACCUGAGGGCAGAGGGGGAAUAUGAGCUACUGCAGCGUCAGAAAUUCUUGGAUUUGUUGAAACUUGGUUCUGGAAGGAGUGAGCCAGAAAGAAAUCCCCCCAAAAAAGAAGAGGAAAAAAUGCAAUAUCCUUCCACUUCAGUGCGUUGUUGUAAGUGUAGUCAUUUCUGGGAGAAGUAUCAAGGCUUACUGCUGUUCUCGGCACUGCCACGAGGGAUGAAUGAGCUCUCAUGAAUGGAAGAAUCAUCAUCAUCGUGUAGAAAUCAAUGUGGUUUGGCCUUGGAAAGAGUGAUUGUAGCUCAAUCGCUUGUGUACAAGCAAGAGUUCUCUUCUAAUUGCCUGGCUUGCCAAGGAGGGAAUUCGGCUGUUUUCUUCUCCCUGGGAGUGACUUUGACUUCAUGAGGAUAAACUCAGUUGGUUAAGGUGUAUUUAGGAACACUUCUGUCUUGUCCUUUGUGAGGUCUUACUCAAGGAGCAAGGGAGGACUCAGCUUGAGGUUGAACUGCCGCAGAGAUAUCAGAGCUGAAGGAGAAAGGCUGUUGUCUGUAAUGCUCUCUUGUUGUCAUAACCAGUGUGAUGUGGAGCCCAUGGGAGGUGAUGAAGACAGGCAGCCUAUGGAGACACAUUGCGCUGCGUGCGGAGUGUGUGUGAUACCCUUACCACAACAGAACCUGCUAUGAGUUACGAUGUGAAACGAUCCUGCACAGGGCAAGAGAAACCACUGCUGCCUCCGGAGCUCUGCUGCUCCGAGGCCUCUCCGUCUGGUGGCUGCUGCCAGAGAGCUGGAAACGCUCUGAGUGUUCCUGGGUUUGAACCUCUGAGUGCCUGUGUAAACCUGGACCAGCUGCUUCCACCUUCCGUGCUUCCCGGAGCGGUUCCCAAACAAAAGCACGCUUGCUAUAAAUUUCCAGUGCCACUUUGGCAGCUCGUGUAUUGACUUUUCCAUCCUCCUUUUCUGGAUUUUGUUUCCUCUCACCUUUUAAGUUUCUUCCGUUUUCCCCAAGGGAGUACUUACGUUCUCAGAUUGAAAACAGAAGGUUGUUCAGGUUGAUUGUUAGCAUGCUGUCAAACGGUAUUUUCCAUAUAAAAAUAUUUAUUUUACUUCAAGCCACAUCUUUCUGAUGGAAGAAGGGCUUAAAGGAGUCAGCGUCUGGGAGCUUCUGUGCAUAAAUGUUUCAG
ensembl:lncRNA